AUGUUCUGGGCGGAUGCCACAAGUAGGAAGAACUAUAGUCACUUUGGUGAUGUGAUAUCCUUCGAUUCUACAUACACCACUAAUCAGUACAACAUGAUAUUUACACCAUUUACAGGGGUUAAUCAUCACUUACAAAGUGUCCUUUUUGGUGUUGGAUUCUUAUCAAAUGAGAAGGAUGAGUCAUACAUUUGGUUAUUUCAGACCUUCCUAAAAGCAAUGGGAGGGGUAGCACCUAGACUCAUCAUAACUGAUGAAGCUGCUAGCAUCAAGAAUGGUAUUGACAAAGUUCUUCCAGCCACUAUGCAUAGGUUAUGCAUGUGGCAUAUAAUGGAAAAGGUGCCUGAAAAAGUUGGACCUUUGAUUAGAGAAGAUUCUGAAUUUUGGCCGAGGUUGAACUCAUGUGUUUGGGGUUCAGAAACUGCAAGUGAGUUUGAAUCACAAUGGAAUUCCAUCAUUACAGAUUUUGGGUUGGAGGAUAACGAGUGGUUAGCUAAGAGGUUUACCAUUAGAGAUACAUGGAUACCAGCCUACUUUAUGGAUAUAUCUCUUGCGGGCUUGCUCUGA
rnacentral:rRNA from 1 species